ACGUCUAGCGAUGAAAUUGUGCUCUAUGGAGCUGACUUUGACUAUGCUCAGACAUAAGACACUGAUAAAACGAGACAGCAUUAUACUGCUGGCAUAAAUCUGUCUCAUUUUAACUGAAACUUAAGUCUAAGCAAAGUCAAAGUGUGAUCUGUAGAUUUCAAC